rnacentral:lncRNA from 1 species
AUGCUGCUCUGGACACCGGCCUGGGAAUACCUCACUGGCAGAUUCCCACUGCUGACGGGGACAGCUGUCUCUGUGCCACAAAGAUACUUCUGUGUGGCUGGGAGGAAGGAGGUCAUAGGUUACUCUGCCAGCACCACUGAGUGUCAGACAAGCAACGUGAGAACAAAGGACAAAGACAUCUUGUGGAGCUUCCUAUUCCAGCAGAAAACUUCAUGGACUUGCAGGGGUUCAGCACUGCUGCUGGAGUUAGGAUCGCCAGAGGAAACAUGGGAAUGAUCAACCCAGCACACAGCAAGUCAAGGCUGGGAGAUUACCUGUUUAAGACUGGAUGUGCUGAAACUGUUCCUGGUAUCAGUACAGUAUUUAUUACAUUCCUCAGUAUUCUCUGGCAAUGGCCUUGCCCUUGCCUUCAAGGCUGAGCGACUCAGCUCAGCACCAGGCACCUCAACAGGACGCUCAGCAUUCCCUGCAGGGGAGGUGCUGUCACUGGUGGCAGAUGUUUGGCUGCAUUCCCCUCUAGCUUUGAGCCGUGCCUGGCUCUAUACCUGCUGCUCUGCCUUUGCAAUGGGUGCCUCCAAACACCUUGGGGUGUGGAGCCAUGUGGGAUCACAGGUAGUGGGAGGCAGGGAAGAGAAAUACCUGACACAGAACCUCCUUCAUUUCCCCUCUCAGGCAUAACGGGGUCUCCAGCCAGGCUAAUGACACCGAGGGGUUGGUGCUGCUGAAGCCAAGUACCAGCAUGGUGGUGGAGGUGAGGAUGAAGCUGAGGGCAGCCUGCAGAACUCUGGGGAGUGCUGCCACUGCUCUGCAUGCUUCCCAAAACAUGCCCCCUCCCCUCCAUAGCUUUUUGGGGGAACAGCUCUGGCAGUAAGACCCUGUCCUUUGUCUCUCAUUAGCCCAGUCAGCCUAGCACAUGCCUCCUUCUGGAAGAACCCAGAAAAAACAUGGUUACUAUGCGGUAAACCCACAUUCCCAAUCUUUAUGUUCGGGAUCUCUGUGAUCCAGAAGGCACAACACGGGAAAAAAACUGAUGUAAACUCUGCACAGGCUAGAAAGGCAGCAGCAAUUUAAUUUCCAGCAUUCAUGCCUAAUGCUGACCUUGGACCUCUGCCAGCAAAACCAAAUUAAAUCUAUUACAGAGCUUUACAAGCACAAAAAGGUUUUCACUCAAGUACUUAACUUGGAUGUCCUGCCUGCAGCCAUGCCUCUCUGCAGUACUGCCACUGUUACAUCCCCACCUGUUUCCAGAAAAUAGGACACAGCUGCAUUAACUCUG